GUGAUCAGGACUGAACACAGACGACCCACCCUGGAGAUUGGGAUGAGCUGGGUUUUCCUUAUUGCAAUUUUAAAAGGUGUCCAGUGUGAGGUGCAGCUGGUGGAGUCUGGGGGAGGCUUGGUCCAGCCUGGAGGGUCUCUGAGAUUCUCCUGUGUGGCCUCUGGAUUCACCAUCAGCGAAUACUACAUGGACUGGGUCCACCAGGCUCCAGGGAAGGGGCUGGAGUUUGUUAGUUUCAUUAGAAACAAAGCUAAUAGUCACAGCACAGAAUAUGCUGCAUCUGUGAAAGGCAGAUUCACCAUCUCAAUAGAAGAUUCCAAAAGCACUGUCUAUCUGCAAAUGGACAGCGUGAAGUCCGAGGACACAGCCGUGUAUUACUGUGCAAGAGACACAGUGAGGGGAAGUCUGUCUGUGUCAAGACACAAACCUCCAUGCAGGGGCACGCGCGACCACCAGGGGGCGCGCAGGACACACUGA